rnacentral:rRNA from 1 species
ACGAACGCUGGCGGCGCGCCUAACACUUGCAAGUCGUACGAGCGAGAGAUAGCUUGCUUUCUUGAGCGAGUGGCGAACGGGUGAGUAACGCGUGAGGAACCUGCCUCAAAGAGGGGGACAACAGUUGGAAACGACUGCUAAUACCGCAUAAGCCCACGGUGCCGCAUGGCACAGAGGGAAAAGGAGCAAUCCGCUUUGAGAUGGCCUCGCGUCCGAUUAGCUAGUUGGUGAGGUAACGGCCCACCAAGGCGACGAUCGGUCGCCGGACUGAGAGGUUGAACGGCCACAUUGGGAGUGAGACACGGCCCAGACUCCUAAGGGAGGCAGCAGUGGAGAAUAUUGCACAAUGGGGGAAACCCUGAUGCAGCGACGACGCGUGGAGGAAGAAGGUCAUCGGAUUGUAAAAUCCUGUUGUUGGGGAAGAUAAUGACGGUACCCAACAAGGAAGUGACGGCUAACUACGUG